AUUGAACGCUGGCGGCAUGCCUUACACAUGCAAGUCGAACGGCAGCACGGGGCAACCUGGUGGCGAGUGGCGAACGGGUGAGUAAUGCAUCGGAACGUACCUUUCAGUGGGGGAUAACGUAGCGAAAGUUACGCUAAUACCGCAUAUUCUGUGAGCAGGAAAGCAGGGGAUCGCAAGACCUUGCGCUGAUUGAGCGGCCGAUGUCAGAUUAGCUAGUUGGUGAGGUAAAGGCUCACCAAGGCGACGAUCUGUAGCGGGUCUGAGUGGAUGAUCUGCCACACUGGAACUGAGACACGAUCCAGACUCCUACGGGAGGCAGCAGUGGGGAAUUUUGGACAAUGGGGGCAACCCUGAUCCAGCCAUGCCGCGUGAGUGAAGAAGGCCUUCGGGUUGUAAAGCUCUUUCGGCCGGGAAGAAAUCGCACGGGCUAAUACCCUGUGUGGAUGACGGUACCGGAAUAAGAAGCACCGGCUAACUACGUGCCAGCAGCCGCCGCAGUAA
rnacentral:rRNA from 1 species